rnacentral:lncRNA from 1 species
GGUGUUCGUACAACCCCGGUGCAAUAUGUUCAAACUUGCCUAUUUUUGCCAGCGGUACGAAGACUAUACGAUCUGGGCAGUGUUUUUUGCUAGAGGGAAUCAUAGGUACAGGAUGUAAUUAGGUAUUUAUGACUUCCACAUGGAGACACAUCAUGUAUAUAGAUGAAAAGCAAAGAUCGAUUUGAUACCUGAUGGAUAAUACUUUGAUACGUACGUGUGUAUUGAUUGCUACAUGAAAAUUAUCUAGCUUCAUAUUGGCCAAGCGUACCCUGUUGAGAUCACAGCUGAACACAACUUGGACGGUGAGCUUGGAUCACCGGCGGAUACAACUUGCCCGCCCGGGUCAUGAACGGGGCAGUAGUGUAGCACUAUCUUUUUUUCCAGAUCAACCUUCCACACACUGAUUGAAUAGAAUAUUGAUGGGACCAUUAGAUAGGAGGCAAAUAAAAACAAAUCAAGAAAGGAUACAGCGGCGGCUAGGUUAGAGAGAUACCUUAUAAUAAAAAAAAUACGGGUUGAUGGAUUCAUACAUUGUGCUAGCCGGCUUGCUGUUGAUCGAUUUCAUAGGAACACACGUGUAUAGGAUGCAAAUCAUGAACUGAUUUAGUAGCCGGUGGCUCUUAGUUUGCAGGUGGGUCUGCUAGCUUCGUGAAAAUUCAUCUACCUUCAUAUAUGAGAACCUGGAUUAGUCACCACGAAUGAUGGAAAGGAAAUAAAUCAAGGGUGGCGGCUAGGUUAAAAGUAUUACGUGGGGAUCUGUU